GUCGCGGCGGCGGCGGUGGCGAGCGGCGUCAGAGCUCACUAGGGGGGGUUUGACGGCUUCUGGCGGGUGUCGCUGUCGGGAGGAGGCGAGAGUCGGCUUAGUCUGUGUCGCGUUUGUCUCAGGAACCGGACGGAGAGUGAGGGCACGAGAGCUCUCUCUCGAGGUGGUUGCCAUCUUCCACGUCCACGCCGCCGUGAGGAGUGCAGCCCGGACUCUCCACGACCCCUCCGACUCCCCACUUGCAGGCCUCGAGGCCGCAGCGGCCACCGAGACAGCGCCGCACCUCCCCCACCCCUUCCCCUCGUCCCCCGCCCGCCAGGGCCCGGCCGGUGCCCACCCCCGCCCGCCUGUCUGCCUGCCUGUCUGCCCGCCCGCCCGCUACGCCGCCGCCAUGUCGGCGCAGGCCCAGAUGCGCGCUAUGCUGGACCAGUUAAUGGGCACCUCUCGGGACGGUAAGUCUUCUAGAGAAUGGAUCUUGGAGAAUGCUUGAAAGUACAUGACCUGGCUUUAAGAGCAGAUUAUGAAAUUGCAUCCAAAGAACAAGACUUUUUCUUUGAACUUGAUGCCAUGGAUCAUCUACAGUCAUUCAUUGCAGAUUGUGAUAGAAGAACAGAAGUGUCUAAGAAAAGAUUAGCAGAAACUCAAGAAGAGAUAAGUGCUGAAGUGGCAGCAAAGGCAGAGCGUGUUCAUGAGUUAAAUGAGGAAAUAGGCAAGUUGUUGGCCAAAGUGGAACAACUGGGAGCUGAAGGAAAUGUGGAAGAAUCUCAGAAAGUCAUGGAUGAAGUAGAGAAAGCACGGGCAAAGAAAAGAGAAGCAGAGGAAGUUUAUCGGAAUUCUAUGCCAGCUUCCAGCUUUCAACAGCAGAAACUUCGUGUCUGUGAAGUCUGUUCUGCAUAUUUAGGUCUUCAUGAUAAUGACCGACGACUUGCUGAUCAUUUUGGGGGUAAAUUGCAUCUGGGAUUUAUUGAAAUAAGAGAGAAGCUCGAAGAAUUAAAGAGAGUUGUAGCUGAGAAGCAGGAGAAGAGAAACCAGGAACGUCUGAAACGAAGAGAAGAGAGGGAGAGAGAAGAACGGGAGAAACUGAGGAGGUCCCGAUCACAUAGCAAGAAUCCCAAAAGAUCUAGAUCCAGAGAGCAUCGCAGACACCGAUCUCGCUCCAUGUCACGAGAACGCAAGAGGAGGACUCGAUCAAAAUCUCGUGAGAAACGCCAUCGCCACAGGUCCCGGUCCAGUAGCAGAAGCCGCAGCCGAAGCCACCAGAGAAGUCGGCACAGUUCAAGAGAUAGGAGCAGAGAGCGAUCCAAGAGGAGAUCCUCAAAAGAAAGAUUCAGAGAUCAAGACUUAGCAUCACGUGACAGAGACAGGAGUUCAAGAGACAGAUCACCCCGUGACCGAGAUCGAAAAGAUAAGAAGCGGUCCUAUGAGAGUGCUAAUGGCAGAUCAGAAGACAGGAGGAGCUCUGAAGAGCGUGAAGCAGGGGAGAUCUAACUAGCUGUGUACAUAUCUUCAAUCCUUAAACUUCCUAUGGCGCUACAUGCUAUUGUUUAGUUUACAGCUGUUCAGAUGACAGUGAACAGUUCUAGACACCAAUCCAGUCAGGCUAGAUGUCUAGUAUCCAAUGAUCUGAACUGAACCUGCUCUCCUUGAUGAAGCCUAAAACUACAUCCAUAGUUUUUUGUGAACCUGAACGUAACAGUUUAUAUUAUGAGACACUGUUGUCUAUUUCUUAGGAGCGAUAGUAAAUGAAUUGUGUUGAUGCCUUGCAGUUUUUGAACAUUUGUAAAAUACUGUUUUCCUUUCUAUUCCAAACAGCAGCAGCUUUAGGAAAUCCUUUUUCUUUAUAAUUCUUCCUUUGACUUUUGUAUCUCCUAAUACCUGUGCCUCCAACUAUAAAAGAGUAAAGGGAAGCAGUAUAACUUCUAAGGUUCUGUUCACAUUGGUUAUUAUUGGUUGAUUAGAGUUGAGCAUUUCUACUGGAUUGUGUGCUGGAGAAAUUUAAAUAUGGGGCUGUUUUGUUUGGGGCCUAUUAGAGUUGGAAGUUGAACAGUUGUUGGAUUACAUACUUUUGCUUUUAUAUUGAAAUUUUGAAAUCAGACUUGUCUUGAUUUUUGUUUUUGAUUUUUUUUGUUGUUUUUGGUUUUGGUUUUUUGUUCUAUUAAACUGCUGCGUUCAGUAUAUUGAGGGGGAUGGGGGCAGGGACUGUUUCAAAAGCACUUGUUUUGUGUGUGCAGGGGGUAUGUGUGCAUAGUUUAAAGACUAUACUCUUAAGUGUAAAAAAAAUAAAAUGAAAAGAAUCACCACCACUACUGUAACUUGUUCAGUAAGUUGUCACUAGAACUAUUUGCUGUGGGUAUUCUCUAUUUUGUAACAUCCUUAACAGUGCCUUUCUGUGUACAAGGCACCAAAGGAAGUAAACAUUUAAUUGUGGAUUCCAGAUGGACUGUUGCCCCACCAAAACCUCUUGCUGACUAUACUACACUACUUCAGAGCUGUGUUUAACAGCUUCUGUAAGGAAAGAUUGAACUUGUAGAAGCAGCUAAGAGUUGUUUGUUUGUAUUUUUUAAUUGACAAGCCUGAAUAAAAACAAUAUGUAACCAACAUAUUGAAACCAGCAGUUUCU
rnacentral:lncRNA from 1 species